GACGAACGCUGGCGGCGUGCUUAACACAUGCAAGUCGAACGGAAAGGCCUGCUUUCCCUUGUGGAUUGCGGGUACUCGAGUGGCGAACGGGUGAGUAACACGUGAGUGAUCUGCCCCCAACUUGGGUAUAAGCCUGGGAAACUGGGUCUAAUUCCCGAUAGGACUGCAGGGUGGUGCCUGUGGUGGAAAACGAUUUUCUAGUGGUUGGGGAUGAGCUCGCGGCCUAUCAGCUUGUUGGUGGGGUAAUGGCCUACCAAGGCGGCGACGGGUAGCCGGCCUGGGAGGGUGGGCGGCCACAGUGGGACUGAGACACGGCCCAGACUCCUACGGGAGGCAGCAGUGGGGAAUAUUGCACAAUGGGCGGAAGCCUGAUGCAGCGACGCCGCGUGGGGGAUGACGGCCUUCGGGUUGUAAACUCCUUUCGACCGCGAGGAAGCCACCUGGUUGGAAGGGUGGUGACGGUAGUGGUAGAAGAAGCACCGGCUAACUACGUG
rnacentral:rRNA from 1 species